CCGGUAAGGUGACGAUCACAACCUCAUUCAUUUCCUGCAUGUUUACCUCUGAUGAAGCCAUGAAGACUCGGAGGAGCUCACCUACAGACAGGCCAAAUCUAAUUACUUGAAAGGUUAGAGAAGGGCAGCGGACCGAAAGUGUUACUGACGGGACUCUACAGCAUCUUGAGCUGAAUUCAGACUUCAGAAGUCAUGUUGAAUGACCAGCGGAUAAACUCUCAGGUGUUUUGUGCCAGAAAUGGAGUGUCCACUGAAGACUGAAGAUACUGAAUCUCUACGCACUGCCAUUGAUCCCUCUUGUGCCUUCAUCUAGACAAGAGACAUCAACUUAACUACUCUCACAUGCUCUGUACCUACAUCACCUUCCCUGACAGUCGUAGCUUGGCUCAUCUGAGGGUGAAAUUAUAAGAAUGUGUUAUUUUGCAAAGUGCUCUCUAGGGUUUCUAAAUAAAAUAUGGCAUUGAGGUCAUUUCUUUUGAAUUAAUCCCUUCUUAAAUAUAAGAACCUCUCCUGGUUUUAAUGGCACUUUGGAUUUCCUUACUUUCUGUUCCACUUCCAAACCCAAAUAGAUGCUGACAAGCUGACACAGUAACAUGGAAGAGGGAAAGAAGUUGGAAAGGACUACUACAAAUAAACCUAAUGCCUAACAAUGAAAAAUGUAAAAUAAGAACAAUAAUAAUAA